rnacentral:rRNA from 1 species
AAUGAACGCUGGCGGCAUGCCUUACACAUGCAAGUCGAACGGCAGCAUGACCUAGCUUGCUAGGUUGAUGGCGAGUGGCGAACGGGUGAGUAAUGCAUCGGAACGUGCCUUUUAGUGGGGGAUAACGUAGCGAAAGUUACGCUAAUACCGCAUAUUCUCUGAGGAGGAAAGCAGGGGACCUUCGGGCCUUGCGCUAGAAGAGCGGCCGAUGUCGGAUUAGCUAGUUGGUGAGGUAAAGGCUCACCAAGGCAACGAUCCGUAGCGGGUCUGAGAGGAUGAUCCGCCACACUAGGACUGAGACACGGCCCAGACUCCUACGGGAGGCAGCAGUGGGGAAUUUUGGACAAUGGGCGCAAGCCUGAUCCAGCCAUGCCGCGUGAGUGAAGAAGGCCUUCGGGUUGUAAAGCUCUUUCGGCUGGGAAGAAAUCGCACCCUCUAAUACAGGGUGUGGAUGACGGUACCAGCAUAAGAAGCACCGGCUAACUACGUG